GACGAACGCUGGCGGCGCGCUUAACACAUGCAAGUCGAGCGAAGCGGCGGACGGGUGAGUAACACGUGAGUAACCUGCCUUAGACAUUGGGAUAGCCUCGGGAAACCGGGAUUAAUACCAAAUGGUCUAAGAUGGACUCGCGUCCCAUUAGCUAGUUGGGAGGUAACGGCCAACCAAGGCGACGAUGGGUAGCCGGCCUGAGAGGGUGAACGGCCACAUUGGAAGUGAGAAACGGUCCAAACUCUACGGGAGGGAGCAGUGGGGAAUAGUGAACAAGGGAGGGAACUCUGAUGCAGCUACGCCGGGGGAACGAAGAAGGCUUUCGAGUCGUAAAGUUCUUUUAUAUGGGAAGCGGUACCAUAAGAAAAAGCCCCGGCUAACUACGUGCCAGCCGCCGCGGUAAUUC
rnacentral:rRNA from 1 species